AGCUUCAGUAGCGUAUAUUAAAGUUGUUGCAGUUAAAAAGCUCGUAGUCGCAUUUCUGGCGAGAGGAUCCGGUCCGACCUUUUGGUGGGUUCUUGGGUCUCUUUCGCCAUCCUUGAGUGGUCCGUUCUGGCAUUAGGUUGUCGGAGCGUCAGCCGCUCAUCGUUUACUGUGAGAAAAUUAGAGUGUUCAAAGCAGGCUUAUGCCGUUGAAUAUAUUAGCAUGGAAUAAUAAGAUAGGACCUCGGUACUAUUUUGUUGGUUUGCGCACCAAGGUAAUGAUGAACAGGGACAGUUGGGGGUAUUUGUAUUUCGUUGUCAGAGGUGAAAUUCUUAGAUUUACGAAAGACAAACUACUGCGAAAGCAUUUACCAAGGAUGUUUUCAUUG
rnacentral:rRNA from 1 species